rnacentral:rRNA from 1 species
CCUGGCUCAGGAUGAACGCUAGCUACAGGCUUAACACAUGCAAGUCGAGGGGCAGCAUGUUGGUUGCUGCAACCAAUGAUGGCGACCGGCGCACGGGUGAGUAACGCGUAUCCAACCUUCCCCUUAGUAGAGGAUAGCCCGGCGAAAGUCGGAUUAAUACUCUAUGUUCUUCAAUGCGGACAUCUAAGUUGAAGCAAAGAUUUAUCGCUAAGGGAUGGGGAUGCGUCUGAUUAGGUUGCAGGCGGGGUAACGGCCCACCUGGCCUACGAUCAGUAGGGGUUCUGAGAGGAAGGUCCCCCACACUGGUACUGAGACACGGACCAGACUCCUACGGGAGGCAGCAGUGAGGAAUAUUGGUCAAUGGGCGCGAGCCUGAACCAGCCAAGUAGCGUGCAAGGACGACUGCCCUAUGGGUUGUAAACUGCUUUUAUCAGGGAAUAAAGUGAGGCACGCGUGCCUUUUUGUAUGUACCUGAUGAAUAAGGACCGGCUAAUUCCGUGCCAGCCGCGGC